CAACAUGACCUUCAUCAUCAUCUUCAUCUGGACUCUCACAGCGUUUGCUCAAGAGUGUAGAGGACAGAUCAGCGUCACUCAGAGUCCCUCAACGACAGCAGCUCAACCAGGAGAAACAGUGAAGAUCAACUGUAGAACCAGCAAAGAUGUGUACAGAUGGAGUGGGACUGAUCUUUUAGCCUGGUACUUACAGAAACCUGGAGAAGCUCCUAAACUCCUGAUAUAUCGAACAUCAUACGUUUACACUGGAACUCCAUCUAGAUUCAGUGGCAGUGGAUCUAACAGUGAUUUCACUCUGACCAUCAGUGGAGUCCAGACUGAAGAUGCUGGACAUUAUUACUGUCAGAGUGCUCACUAUAUCAGUAGUAGUUAUGUGUUCACACAGUGAU